CAGCCGCCACGGUAAUACGGAGGGUGCAAGCGUUAAUCGGAAUUACUGGGCGUAAAGCGCACGCAGGCGGUCUGUCAAGUCGGAUGUGAAAUCCCCGGGCUCAACCUGGGAACUGCAUUCGAAACUGGCAGGCUAGAGUCUUGUAGAGGGGGGUAGAAUUCCAGGUGUAGCGGUGAAAUGCGUAGAGAUCUGGAGGAAUACCGGUGGCGAAGGCGGCCCCCUGGACAAAGACUGACGCUCAGGUGCGAAAGCGUGGGGAGCAAACAGGAUUAGAGACCCCAGUAGUCCCUGUCUCUUAUAC
rnacentral:rRNA from 1 species